rnacentral:rRNA from 1 species
AGAGUUUGAUCCUGGCUCAGGAUGAACGCUAGCUACAGGCUUAACACAUGCAAGUCGAGGGGAAACGAUAUUGGAAGCUUGCUUCCGAUAGGCGUCGACCGGCGCACGGGUGAGUAACGCGUAUCCAACCUGCCCACCACUUGGGGAUAACCUUGCGAAAGUAAGACUAAUACCCAAUGACGUCUCUAGAAGACAUCUGAAAGAGAUUAAAGAUUUAUCGGUGAUGGAUGGGGAUGCGUCUGAUUAGCUUGUUGGCGGGGUAACGGCCCGACCAAGGCUACGAUCAGUAGGGGUUAACUGAGAGGAAGGUCCCCCGACAUUGGAACUGAGACACGGUCCAAAAUCCUACGGGAGGCA